rnacentral:rRNA from 1 species
UACGGAGGGUGCGAGCGUUGUUCGGAAUUACUGGACGUAAAGGGGGCGUAGGCGGUUUGUUAAGUCCAAUGUGAAAGACCACGGCUUAACUGUGGAAGUGCAUUUGAGACUGGCAGGCUAGAGUUUCGGAAGGGAAAGUGGAAUUCCUGGUGUAGGAGUGAAAUCCGUAGAUAUCAGGAGGAAUACCGGUGGCGAAGGCGACUUUCUGGACGAAUUCUGACGCUGAGGCCCGAAAGCGUGGGGAGCAAACAGG